rnacentral:lncRNA from 1 species
AUGCCUGCAUGCUCCAUCAAAGGAAAAGGUUCCCCAGGCCAGACCUCCCAUGAGGCUGAACUGCCAGCAGAAUGCAUCAUCGCAGGUGAGGAGCGAAGGGGACACCAGCUGUGCUGCAUUCAUAAUCAGAGGCCCUGGUAUAAAAGGAGGAUGGAGACACCACUCGACUCCGGAUGAUUGCUACAGUUUUGGUUAGCUCCAGCCACUCGUAUUUACUUGUUAGCUUGUUUGACUUCUCGUGUUUGGAUUAUUGGAUUUGUUGACCUUGGACUGUUCUCUCGGAUUACGACUUUGGAUUUCCCUCUGAACCCCUGUCUGCUUGCCCUGUUUAGGAUUACCAUCAUCUCCUUCACCUACUCUGCCGAAAACCCCGGAUCUUCAGGACCACGUCCCAUCCUCCUCCACGGCUCCUGCUUCCUGCUCCUCUCCUCUCCGCUUCCUCACCAUCCCGCUCUGCUGGACCGCUGCCCUCGCUCACCUCGGCUCAUCACCUGCUCCGCUGCUCGCUGAGCUUGAACUCUGGACUAACGCCUUACGGCACCCUACUCACUGGACUUCCAGUGCACCUUUAGUUCCCAUUCUCCAAAUAAAGGCUUUAUUUUUACUUACCUUCUGAGUCCCGUGUUGAUUCUGCAUGUCUUGGGUUAGACACCUCCCGCAUGUCAUGACAAGCCGCUUGUAUCAGCGAUCUCGUUCUGUCGGUCACUACCCAAAGCUCAUGACCAUUGAUGAGGGUAGGAAUGUAGAUUGACCGGAAAAUCGAGAGCUUUGCUUAACGGCUCAGCAUGCUCGCAUCACUGCAGGUGCAGCACCUUUAUGUUACUAGUUAUUUUCACUAGCAGUUAGUAUAAUUAGUUAGGUCACUAGGCAGAACUGGGAUCAUUAUUACGUUUUUGCUCACAAUGCUUCUUGGAUCCAUUCACUUAAACUGUGUUUUAUGCUAAGCUAGAAUGAAAGGAGCACUGGACUGGUUAAAUGUUUUUCUUUUCCCACGUAUCUAAUGCUGGGAAAUAUGUCAACAGACACAAUUUCAAUUUUGGGUGGAAUAUUCCUUUAAGGCUGACAUGUAUUUUCAAGUAAGUGAUACAUAGUAUGCCAUCAUAAGAUUAUCAAAAUUGCACCUUAGAUACUUUUAGUUUCUGAGAAGUAUUUUUUGCGACCACAUCUGCUUUAGUCUGAAGCAACCGAUGAUUAAAAAGUCCAACCUCUCCUUGAA